AUGGCGGCGGUGCCGCCCCGCCGGGCGGGAGGUGGCGCGCGCGGUUCCGGCGGCAAAAUGGCCUCUGAGCGAACACUGAGGCACAUCUGAAAAUACAUAAAUUACGCGAAUAGUUACAUCUCGCUUAGUGUCUAAAGUUGUCCCGCCCAUGGGUGGGACUAAACGAGGGGCUGGGCUCGCUGCUGCUGCGGGCUCCCUUCCAGCUCGGCCUGUUCUGUAAUUCUGUGAUCUUUAAGCUCUCUUCCCACCCAAUCCAUUCUUGUGAUUCUACGACAUUAAUUUUUUUUCGGUGUUAAAAUAUUAGCCAGCAGCAACAACAAAAAAGUUACAUUUUCAAUGUGUAAUAUUUGUUUCUCAAAAAUACAGUUCAGCUUGUUCUAAACAUGAGUAUGAAAAGUUAACUUAUAUACAUGUAGGAAAAAAAAAAAAAACAAGCCUCCCAGGGAUAAAAAGACUUAAUUGUGGCCAAACACUAUUACUCAUAGGUGUUGUACCUCGAGCUCAUCUGAUCUGUCCAAUUCUGUGAACGCAGGCAGAUCACUUAAAAAUCCAGCUUUUUCCCCAAAGAGCUUACAGUCUAAAUAACAUUUAUUUUUCUCAGCAGAGACUUAGAGGACUGCAAGAAGGGGGAAAAAAAAAAUCCACCUAGAGAAAAUUAUUCCAUCUGAAAAUAAAACUAUGUAGAAUUUAUUUUUAAGAAUUCUCCACCAAAUUAGAAGGUAGACCAGACUCUUGAGGCAGUGGUGUUUGAAUCUGGACACACAGAAAGAUCCAUCCCAGCGGAGACUCUGGAAGACAGAGCAAAUGCUGGCUCUGCAGGAAGCGAAGCAGAUGUGUCAAGCCUGGCCCCUUUGGAAUGGAGGAGCAAAGGGAAAUGCCCCCAGGGAAUCCCGUGUUACUCAGCCCUGCUCCCAUUUAUCAGCAGUGCUGGACCUUGUCAAUGCUGAGAAAUUUGCUGAAGGGAGAAGACUAGAGCUCAAAAGAGUGAAGGACAAGAAAAACCAACAUAGUGACUCAGGGUAUCUCCUAUUUUGAGUUACUGCUGGCGAUUGGAAGUGGAGAACUGUAGCUGUGAUCCUGCCCGUGCUCCUCACUGUGCCACAGGGAUUAAACUCCUCCAGCACUGUCAGCAGCCUGACAUCUAGUGGAGGCGAACAGUGGGCAGCAGAACCCAGCCCGACACCAUCCGGCUGCAGGGGUCAUUGAUCCACUGCAGGUGUGGAGUUCAUUGCAUUUAUUAUUCCCGUUUGUGAGAUAUAAAAUAGUGAGUUAAUCUA